GUCCGUUAUUCAUCAGUCCUGUCCUUUGUCUGACCCCUGGUAUUUAGGGCUGGUUCUCUCGGAGGUUGGUGCCACCUUCUUAAAUAACCUUUCUAUGGUUUAAGUCGUAUGACAUUGGUGAAUUGAUUGCAAGUUCAAGAAAAGAGAGUGGUUUUCCUUUUUUGCUGAAUAUCAGUAAAUGCUUUGAUAUAUCCAAAACUUUAUCAUCUUUAUAAAGAUUUGUUUGAGUCUUUAAUGCCUUAAGUUUUUC
rnacentral:lncRNA from 1 species